CAACUUUCAACAACGGAUCUCUUGGCUCUCGCAUCGAUGAAGAACGCAGCGAAAUGCGAUACGUAAUGUGAAUUGCAGAAUUCAGUGAAUCAUCGAAUCUUUGAACGCACAUUGCACUCUCUGGUAUUCCGGAAAGUAUGCUUGUUUGAGUAUCAGUA
rnacentral:rRNA from 1 species